UUGAAAGUGGAUAAUAUUGUGUUAAUUCGAUCAGAAUUCCAACAGUAAAGGGAAACAUCGAUAGUGUUAACUAACGAGAACUCUGGAAAGGUCAGAGAAGUUCAAUCUCGUGCUUCUCUGCGCAGGCUGAUCUUUUUUCUGCAUGACUGUCCCGGGGAGCUGCACGCCUGCAUGCAGUUUAGAGGGAAUAUUGUAUGUUCACUCAUAAAUUGUGCGACAGGGUUCUCUCAAUGUUUUUUUCCCCCUCGGCUUGAGACUUCUCAUUGUUAAGAUUUGAAAAUCCAACCAUUGUAAUAAAAGGGGGCGGUGUUAGGGUGCUGAGUGUGGCUGUGGGUGUUUGAGCCCCGUUUGAGUGAGACACAGAGGUGCGCAAACCAGUUAAAGCACAGCCCCCUCCCUUCAUUAUCGCCGCAUUGUGCCGACAACAUCAAAGAGCCAAUCCAGACUGAGAUUGUUCAGGACUUCUCUAUUUGAAACCCGGACUGCUCGGUGAACCUCACUGAACUGGAUCGGGCUCUUCAAGGACCAAAAACUUUUCUUUGCCAGCUGAGACAAGCAGGCCCAAGAUCUUCUCUUCAAAGUGCAGAUGCACAAGGUGACAUUGUUUUAAGACUUCUGCCAGUGGUCCUCCCACACCGGUCUACAAAGAUGCACAAGGUGACAUCGCUUUAAGACUUCUGCCAGUGGUCCUCCCACACCAGUCUACAAGAUUGGCAGGAAGACAUUCCGACCCAGCUUCUAAGAGACCAGAAAGUCCUUCAUUGACUUGCAGCCUGUAAAUUUAAAUAGUCGAUAGGGAGAUGGAUGGGGAAAUUAGAUGAUAGCGUUUGUAAGCCUUGAAUGAACAGAACACCAUUCCGAUAUCUGUUAUGCAGAACGGCACACUCCAAGACAUUGUUGUGUAAAUUAACCUAUAGAUACUGUAGGCAGGCCCCUGAGUAUGGUACAGCCCAUUGCUCAUAUGUUAAAUUGCCUACUUAUAACAUGACAACGGCUGUAUUCAUUUUUUAUUUUUUAUCAUUCUAUAAACAUUUUGGAUGUGCUUGGUUGGUCACUUUUAACACACUUCCAUAGUGUCUUAAUUAAAUACACUUUCAUCUAAAUGUAAAAUGUUAGCAUGAACAGAUAGACUGUCGCAUGGAAGGUACGUCAUGAUUAUCAGCCGAAAAGACGAUUCCAACACUUUCUUAAAAUAGCUCUGCUUUUAAGAUGCUGAUAAGCUGUUGCGUAGCAUUUUGUUUGAACAAUAGUAGGAGAAAAAGACAACCAAAUGAAGUUUCAUCAACUGCACAUGAACCAGGUUAGAAGAACCUCAUGGUUUCUGGCAAUUACGCUGCGAUGAUUAUGAUGGAAAGCUGUGAGCUCCUGUUACUCAAUACAUGUAUGUGUGUUCAUCACCGGUAAGUCGGUAACACUUGUUUGUAUCUCACUAGCUAUGUGUAUUGCACAAAGCUUGCUAGUUAGCUUGUAGUAUGGACUAGUGAGCUGUAUCCAAAUAACAGCUAUAAUAUUCUUCUGCAUUUGGAUAUUUAUGCAAACCUGUAGAUUCCACCAAGUAGGUAUAGAUAAUGCCAUAAGCCAAUUUGGUAGGGUUGUCUCCCCAGCUGGUCUCCAGGAAGUUGAAAGGACAUUAAAACACCAUUUCAAAUUUUGCUACAUAAGAGCGAAUUAAGCCAGUAGGUCACAUAUAGGCAAAAAUCCUCUUUUCUAAUUACCUAGAGUCUUUGAACGGUCUAGGUCUAGGUCCUCGGCCGUUCAAAGGCAGGCAAAGACAAAGUAUUUACGAGACGUAUCUAUGACUAGCGAAUUAGAUUGAGAUUAAUUUCUCUCACUAGAGUUGGCAGGUCAGUAACACAUUAGCGUGGCAGAAUAAGUGUAAUGUAAAUCAUUUGUUGUUGUGACAGCCAAGUAUGUACCUGUUAUGGCUGCAUCCCUUGUUCUCAAUUUCCGCCUGAAGACAUACCCUAAUCUAACUGCCUGUAGCUCAGACCCAGAGGCAAGGAUAUGCAU